GUUUGUGAAAAAUCCGUGAAGCGAAGAAAAUUUUUCUUGCGGUCCUGGACCAGACAAGUGGUCUUCUUGAUUAGAAAUUCAAUUACAUCGGCAUCAGAGGUACCAUACAGUGUAAGUCUCUAUGGAUUAUCUCCAUCUUCUUCACAGCUUUAAAUUACUAAGAGCUACCUUUCCCAAGACAUUGUGGGCUACAUGAUGCUAAAAAUCCAUCAAAAUCGUACAAGGAUGGGCCAUCUCGAGAUCAGUAUCGACUGUCAAAAGAAACCGUCACCAAUAUGCUGGAAGCCGAAAUGAAGAGGGACACACAGAGGAUAGAUCAACUUCCUGUUUAUUUGCAGGUGUUGACAACUCUCCAUUUUUAUGCAGUGGGAUCAUUUUAAAAGAUGCAUGGUGAUGAGGCAGCAAUAUCGCAGUCAUCAAUGUGUCAGAAGCUAAAGCAAGAAGGAAGAGGCAAUACAUGAAGAUUCCUACAAGAGAAGAAGUUGAAGCAACUCGGAGACAGUUCUAUCUAACUGUUAGAUUUCCAGGAGUGAAAGGUGCAAUUGAUGGGACACAUGUCUACAUCAAGAGCCGG